AUGUCAGAGACGCAGUCGCAGUCUAUUGAUGGCACUGAACCUGUCACGCAACCCAAGGAUGUGCCUCUUCAGCUUCUCCUGGAGGACCAACAUAAGAGGAAGAAGCAAGAAGAUUUUGACAAGAAGAGGGUGGCCCGCCUUGAGGAAGGUUCUGAUGUUCAUGGAUCUGUUCAUGCGGCUGAGCUCACUGUUGAGGAAGACGUGUCGUGUGGUAGUGAUGGCAAGGUUGUCCCUGUUAAGAAGAAAAUCAAGAAGACUGCUGCGAGGAAGCUAGUAGUUGGUGAAGUUACUCCUCGAAGGAGCCCACGCAUUUCAUGGCCUGCAGAAGUUGUUGAAGAUGAAGGGUUAGGCCUUGGUGGUACGCCACGCCAUAGUCCUCGUGUGCUUGCCACUGCCGUGCCUACACCUUCUCCGCUUGGUGCUGGUGCAUCUGGUAAGGGCAAGAAAUGUGGCGUGAAGCGCAAGGUUCCACCUGCAAAGGUCAACAAGGGUGUGAAGAAGCGUUCUCAUGUUAAUCCAGAGGACAAGGAUGAUGCUGAUUUCAAUGCUGAUGAUGAGGACGACGUCGAUGAUGAUGCUGCCGCUAAUCAGUAUCAGCUUGUGCUGCGGCCUAGGAGGAGGAAGAGAGGAGGCAAAGCGCCCAAAGAAGGUGGCCAAGGAGGAGGUGAGGCGAAACGUUUUAACAAGAUGGUUUGCUGCUCACUGAAAGAGGUCAAGACGUGUGCGGAAAUGCUACAACUUAGGCACAAGACGAGGGUUAUCAAUGCUGGUUUUGGUUGUGUGUUUGACUUGAAGGUUGAUUCCAACAUUUCUCGUCCUUUGAUGGGCAACAUCUACACGAGGAUUGACCCUUCAACCAUGAUUUUGGACAUGGGUGAGGCGAACAAGGUUAUACGUAUUACAAGUGAUGCUAUUCACCAUCUCUUUGGGUUCCCUCAAGGUAAUCGUACCCCCCCUAGGCCCUCGAAUGAUGGUUUCGAUGAUGCUGUUAUGAGGUUGAAGGGCAAGCUUGGGUAUGCUAGGAGUGACGACAUCAAGACAAAGGAUUUGCGGAAUAUCCUUGCUGAACUUGUGAAGGAUGAGACGAAGGAUGAUCUUGCUCGGCGGGUGUUUUACCUUAUUGUUUUCAUGAAGGUGGUUAUCCCUGGAACGUCUACACGAGUGUCCAGGGAGGCAGCAAUGGCCAGGAACCUUGUGUUUGAGGACAUGGCAGACAUGGACUACUGCCAGUUGGUUGUUGAUGAUAUUCGGAGUGCUGUUGUUAGGUAUCAGCAAGGUACUAGCAGAGGAAAAGUUUUCACAGGCUAUGCCAUCGCGCCGCUGCUUAUGUAUUUGGACUGCCUUAUCAUUGGCAAGACGUCUAAUAUUGACUUGAGGACCCCUCGCAUCAAUUUCAUGAAUCAGGCCAAGCUUCUUGAGCUUGCUGUGGCUGACUUGGUCACGAAGGGUGAUGAUGACCCAGCCAACUGGGUGUUUGGGAGACUGUGUUGGAAGACACAGGCUGAGAUUGUGUUCUUUAGGGUUAUUGAACGUCCUGUUCUAACUAUGCCUCGUUCUGCCGGCCAAGGGAGUGGAACUUCCCCAAGAUUUGAAUUCUCCCGGGAUGUUAAUACCGGUGCCCCCUAUAGAUCCAAGAGUCUUCUUGAAACUGUUUGUGGGGAGUUGGCUCAUGUUCCUUCAACUGCUGAGCGUCUUAGUCGCAUUGAUGGGAUUCUUCCUCCCGGACACGGAUUUGAUGCUGAGUCUUCGAAGGGGGUCUUAUCUAUUGAAGCUAAAUUUCUUGAAGAGCUUCGUCAGAGCACUUCCCACCUCCGGACUAGCGUUGGGUUGUUCAAGGAAAUGCAGGAUGCUCGUUGCAAGCCUUUUGAAGAUGAGGCAAGCGUUGUUGUGAGACAGAUUCAGAAGCAGGAUUCUGCUGUUGAUGAUGAUGCUAGGGUUGAGGAGGAUGUUUUACCUACGCAUGAAGCUGCUCCUGUGCAUGAGGCUGCCCCUGUGCAUGAACCUGCUCCCGCUAGUGGUGUAAUAGUUGAUGAGGUUCAUGGCAGUGAAAAUAAGCAGCAGAAUGAUGAUGUUAGUGUUGCUCCAGAGAAGGUUGCAGACAUUUCCGUCUUAGGCACCGGCUGCUCCGACGGGGUGGUCCUGACUGAAUCUUUUUCGUCCAUUGGUGCUGAGGUUUCUGAUGUUGAGCAGGGCAAGACAAAUGGAGACAUCAUUUUGGAGAAAGAUCAUGUUGAGUCUGCUGAACAAACUGGUGGUGGUGCUGCUGCAAGCCCGGAGAAGUCUCCUGCAGCAGAGGCAUCAGUUGAUGUUGAUGUUGUACAGGCACAACCAAAUGUUUUUCUUGUUUCAGAUUCUCCAAUUGCUCCAGCUGCUGCUGGUGUCCUUCCUGACGAUGUUGCAACGUCUACUGGAGACGAUGAUGAAGAUACCGAAAGCGAUAGUAAAGGAGAGGAGGUUGAUCAUUCCAUCCAUGAUAUCCCCUAUGAACUGCCUGUGUGGUCUAAGUUGAACUUCUGAGAAAUGAUUAUGUUCUUAAACAAGGAGUGUGAACCUUCUGUUCAAGAAGUCGCAAUAUCUUUUGGUCCUCGCGGAAUGCUUACAUCUAAUGUGGCUGAGUGUGCACUCUACUAUCUACGUGCGAAGUACCAGGGUUCGGAUAAACUCAUCCUGUCGUAUUGGGUUUGUGACAAGAUUUUCAGAGCUCAAUUUGAUUCCUGUGUGAGGAAGUACUUCAUGGCGAGUGGUCCAGAUAGCAUGGAUGCACAUGAUUCGGUUGUUUUCCCUACUUUUGACCCGCCUGAGAUUCCUGCUUCCAUGGGUGGUGUCGGUCAUUGGGUGUCGAUAUUCCUUGACCUGAAGAAUUCAAGGUUCCAGCUUCUCGAUUCCUACUAUGGACCAAAAGAUGAAUGUGCGGUACGCCUGUUUCGACGGAUGACCGACAACAUCAAGAGGCUUUGGAAGGAUGCCAACAACGAUAGGGAGACACCCUUCAGUCCUCUUACCAUCAACAAUUUCCAUCUGGAUUGGAUUGAUCUCCCCCAGCAGCAAAACAAUAUCGACUGCGGAUUCUUCAUGCUUACGAAUGUUAAUUCGUAUCAUGAUGGGGUUCUUGCAAAUUAUUCCCAUGCGAAUAUCGGGGAUAUCAGGAAGACGUGGUUGUACACAAUCGCUUCUUCUAACCUGUUUGAGACAGACUUCCAAGCUCUGUUUGGCUACUACACAUUGGAUCCGUUGGAGUUGACCGAUCACCACUACUCAUUCCUUGGGUCACAGGAAUACCAGCCUGGGGAGGAACCGAUGAGUACAGCUCUGAUAGAAGAUGAUAGACCUUGGACCCUCAUUCCUUCCAAGUUGGGGAAGCAGGCUGGUGGUAUUCGUGGUACUCCAAAAACCCCUUGCUACAGGAAGGCUGAUGCAGUCGAAGCAGCCAAAGCAGAAGUGAUUUCGUCCGAUGAUGAUUUUGAGAAGAUUUCUUACCCGAAAAAUGUUAAAUGUGCUGCUGGGCAGGAGAUGGAAGGAGACAUAAUGGAUUAUCUCAUAAAUUUGUGGAAGGAUAAGCCGGAGACCUCUGAGAUUUUCACUAGUGUUGACUGGGUUGUACUUAGUCCCUACUUCAUACAGGUUUUCUUGAUUCUAUUCAAGCCAAUUGGCACAAUGGCGCACUACAGUGUGUACGUGGUGAAUAUAUAUCGUGGGAGCAUUGACAUCCUUGAUUCACUUUCUUACGAUAAUAUGGAAACGUCGCGAACGAGUUUCCACAGGGACUGCCAAAGUAUCAUGAAGAGAUUUGUUGGGUUGCUCGAGGAGGUGUACGGCAAGGCUGCAUACAAGGCGAGCAAGCAGCCUAACUGGGUGACUAUUGCAAAGAGGCCGACUUUCAUCGAUGUUCCGAAGCAGAAGAGUAAUGAUUGUGGUUUCUUUGCCGUGAAGUUCCGCUCUUCGUAUGAUGGCGACGAGUUUGUUGAAGAUUUUGGUGAUGUGGAAGCUGCUGCAGAUGACUAG
rnacentral:rRNA from 1 species